CCUACGGGAGGCGGCAGUGGGGAAUUUUGGACAAUGGGCGCAAGCCUGAUCCAGCAAUGCCGCGUGAGUGAAGAAGGCCUUCGGGUUGUAAAGCUCUUUUGUCAGGGAAGAAACGGCUGAGGCUAAUAUCCUCGGCUAAUGACGGUACCUGAAGAAUAAGCACCGGCUAACUACGUGCCAGCAGCCGCGGUAAUACGUAGGGUGCAAGCGUUAAUCGGAAUUACUGGGCGUAAAGCGUGCGCAGGCGGUUUUGUAAGUCUGUCGUGAAAGCCCCGGGCUUAACCUGGGAAUUGCGAUGGAGACUGCAAGGCUUGAAUCUGGCAGAGGGGGGUAGAAUUCCACGUGUAGCAGUGAAAUGCGUAGAGAUGUGGAGGAACACCGAUGGCGAAGGCAGCCCCCUGGGUCAAGAUUGACGCUCAUGCACGAAAGCGUGGGGAGCAAACAGGAUUAGAUACCCUGGUAGUCCACGCCCUAAACGAUGUCUACUAGUUGUCGGGUCUUAAUUGACUUGGUAACGCAGCUAACGCGUGAAGUAGACCGCCUGGGGAGUACGGUCGCAAGAUUAAAACGUCAAAGGAAUUGACGG
rnacentral:rRNA from 1 species